GGAGGUGAAAUUAAGAUUUUUAGAGUUAGUAAUUGAUGAUAAUUGAAGCUAUAAAAAUUUAGAUUUAAACUAGGAUUAGAUACCCUAUUAUACUAAAAAUAAACUUUUAAAAAUUGAUUAUUAUUAGUUAUGUGCUUAAAAUUUGAAGAAUUUGGCGGUAGCUUAGUCUUGUUAGAGGAACCUGUUUUAUUAAAUCGAUAAUCCGCGUAAAAUCUUGCUUUAGCUUAUAUACCGUCAUUAACAGAUAAUUUUACGAGAAUUAAUUGUUGGAAUUUAUAAAAUAUAAAUAAAAUUAGAUCAAGGUGUAGUCUAUGAGAAAGCUAAAAUGGGUUACAAUAAAAGUUUGUUUAAAAAACGUAUUUAUAAAUAAUGAAGGAGGAUUUAAUUGUAUUGUAAGUUAAUAUAUUACGAUGAUAUACAGCACUAAGUUAUGUACAUAUUGCCCGUCGCUUUC
rnacentral:rRNA from 1 species